rnacentral:lncRNA from 1 species
ACAGUUGAUUUUGCAAGCUCAUCAACCAAAACAUAUUCCAUAAGUUUCUAUCUCAAGAAACUUACAAAGAAACAAGAUAUACGAAGAAAUUGUUACUACAGAUAUGACCUGCCAUCGGAACUUUGCUGGAGACAGACCGCAGCACCCGCAAAAGAAGUCUUAAACUGGAGAUGGGUUGCUCUGAUGAAGAUCCUCCGAUGCUUAAGUCAGUAAUCAA